GCGCAAUUUGGGCGACCACCAGUACGC
rnacentral:sRNA from 1 species